rnacentral:lncRNA from 1 species
GCUGCGUGGGGAUCCGGGGCGCUCGCUCCAGCUGCCUCUGCGGAUAUGUCGGGUCCGCGCGCGGGAUUCUACCGGCAAGAGCUGAACAAAACAGUAUGGGAGGUGCCGCAGCGGCUGCAGGGCCUACGCCCGGUGGGCUCCGGCGCCUACGGCUCGGUCUGGUCGCACCCAGGCCCUCCACAGUGAGUAGAGACAGGAUACACCCCUCCACCACCCAUACCCAAGGAGC